UACGUAGGUGACAAGCGUUGUCCGGAUUUACUGGGCGUAAAGAGCGCGCAGGCGGUCGUUCAAGUCGCGUGUGAAAGCCCCCGGCUCAACUGGGGAGGGUCAUUCGAUACUGAUCGACUCGAAGGCAGGAGAGGGUAGUGGAAUUCCCGGUGUAGUGGUGAAAUGCGUAGAUAUCGGGAGGAACACCAGUGGCGAAGGCAGCUACCUGGCCUGUUCUUGACGCUGAGGCGCGAAAGCUAGGGGAGCAAACGGG
rnacentral:rRNA from 1 species